UCUAGAGAUUACUCCUACGGGAGGCAGCAGUGGGGAAUAUUGCACAAUGGGGGAAACCCUGAUGCAGCCAUGCCGCGUGUGUGAAGAAGGCCUUCGGGUUGUAAAGCACUUUCAGUAGGGAGGAAAGGGUGUAGUUUAAUACGCUAUAUCUGUGACGUUACCUACAGAAGAAGGACCGGCUAACUCCGUGCCAGCAGCCGCGGUAAUAAUCGUCGAC
rnacentral:rRNA from 1 species